rnacentral:rRNA from 1 species
UUCCGGAUUUAUUGGGCGUAAAGGGCUCGUAGGCGGCUCGUCGCGUCCGGUGUGAAAGUCCAUCGCUUAACGGUGGAUCUGCGCCGGGUACGGGCGGGCUGGAGUGCGGUAGGGGAGACUGGAAUUCCCGGUGUAACGGUGGAAUGUGUAGAUAUCGGGAAGAACACCGAUGGCGAAGGCAGGUCUCUGGGCCGUCACUGACGCUGAGGAGCGAAAGCGUGGGGAGCGAACAGGAUUAGAUACCCUGGUAGUCCACGCCGUAAACGGUGGACGCUGGAUGUGGGGCACGUUCCACGUGUUCCGUGUCGGAGCUAACGCGUUAAGCGUCCCGCCUGGGGAGUACGGCCGCAAGGCUAAAACUCAAAGAAAUUGACGGGGGCCCGCACAAGCGGCGGACAUCGGAUUAUAUUCAUGCACGCAAAACCUCACCGGGCUUGA